UACAGAGGUCCCAAGCGUUGUUCGGAUUUACUGGGCGUAAAGGGUGCGUAGGCGGCCAAAAAAGUCUGAUGUGAAAUCUCGGUGCUCAACUCCGAAACUGCAUUGGAUACUAGUUGGCUAGAGGAGUGGAAGGGAGACUGGAAUUCUCGGUGUAGCAGUGAAAUGCGUAGAUAUCGAGAGGAACACCAGUGGCGAAAGCGAGUCUCUGGCCACUUCCUGACGCUGAGGCACGAAAGCCAAGGGAGCAAACGGG
rnacentral:rRNA from 1 species